UAUAGUUUGGGAUAACUCCGGGAAACCGGGGCUAAUACCGAAUAAUCUCUUUUGCUUCAUGGUGAAAGACUGAAAGACGGUUUCGGCUGUCGCUAUAGGAUGGGCCCGCGGCGCAUUAGCUAGUUGGUGAGGUAACGGCUCACCAAGGCGACGAUGGCGUAGCCGACCUGAGAGGGUGAUCGGCCACACUGGGACUGAAACACGGCCCAGACUCCUACGGGAGGCAGCAGUAGGGAAUCUUCCACAAUGGGCGAAAGCCUGAUGGAGCAACGCCGCGUGAGUGAAGAAGGUUUUCGGAUCGUAAAACUCUGUUGUAAGGGAAGAACAAGUACAGUAGUAACUGGCUGUACCUUGACGGUACCUUAUUAGAAAGCCACGGCUAACUACGUGCCAGCAGCCGCGGUAAUACGUAGGUGGCAAGCGUUGUCCGGGAAUUAUUGGGCGUAAAGCGCGCGCAGGCGGUCCUUUAAGUCUGAUGUGAAAGCCCACGGCUCAACCGUGGAGGGUCAUUGGAAACUGGGGGACUUGAGUGCAGAAGAGGAAAGUGGAAUUCCAAGUGUAGCGGUGAAAUGCGUAGAGAUUUGGAGGAACACCAGUGGCGAAGGCGACUUUCUGGUCUGUAACUGACGCUGAGGCGCGAAAGCGUGGGGAGCAAACAGGAUUAGAUACCCUGGUAGUCCACGCCGUAAACGAUGAGUGCUAAGUGUUAGGGGGUUUCCGCCCCUUAGUGCUGCAGCUAACGCAUUAAGCACUCCGCCUGGGGAGUACGGUCGCAAGACUGAAACUCAAAGGAAUUGACGGGGGCCCGCA
rnacentral:rRNA from 2 species